GAUGUUUUGUUUGGUUGUGUGAAAGGGAUGAGAGAGUGGAUGUGCUGGUUAACUCUUGCAUAAGGGAGUUGGACAGUACAGGGAUGAAAGAGUGGAGAUGCUGGUUAACUCUUGCAUAAGGGAGUUGGACAGCACAGGGAUGAAAGAGUGGAGAUGCUGGUUAACUCUUGCAUAAGGGAGUUGGACAGCACAGGGAUGAGAGAGUGGAUAUGCUGGUUAACUCUUGCAUAAGGGAGUUGGACAGUACAGGGAUGAAAGAGUGGAGAUGCUGGUUAACUCUUGCAUAAGGGAGUUGGACAGCACAGGGAUGAAAGAGUGGAGAUGCUGGUUAACUCUUGCAUAAGGGAGUUGGACAGCACAGGGAUGAAAGAGUGGAGAUGCUGGUUAACUCUUGCAUAAGGGAGUUGGACAGUACAGGGAUGAAAGAGUGGAGAUGCUGGUUAACUCUUGCAUAAGGGAGUUGGACAGUACAGGGAUGAAAGAGUGGAGAUGCUGGUUAACUCUUGCAUAAGGGAGUUGGACAGCACAGGGAUGAAAGAGUGGAGAUGCUGGUUAACUCUUGCAUAAGGGAGUUGGACAGCACAGGGAUGAAAGAGUGGAGAUGCUGGUUAACUCUUGCAUAAGGGAGUUGGACAGCACAGGGAUGAAAGAGUGGAGAUGCUGGUUAACUCU